rnacentral:lncRNA from 1 species
CGAGAGGGAGACGCUCCCAGGGGUGGGCUGGAGGGCGCCCUCAGGGCGCCUUAGCCGGGUCAGAGGCCUCUGGAGGGACCGCACGACGGCUCCGGGUUACCCGGCCGGAGGGAGCGGAGACAAAAGAGGCCAGAAUCCCGCAGCCGCUGCUCCUUGGGCUGAGAGCUCUGCGUCCGCGAACCGGCAGCACCUGGAGCCUCUGGCCGACACCCGAGCCCGUCCUCAGGAAGCCCGUUACUACUGCUCCUCGGAUUCCGUCUCUCCUGCCCAAUGUGACUCUCCCCAAGCCCCCAUGGUCCUCGCUUUGGAGCCAAAACCAGCUUCUCUCCUUGCGCGAGGUUUUCCGACAGCAGGAUGGUGACUUGUCUUUAGAUCCUCUCGAACUCCAGCUCUCCUAUAUGGUUCGGACUCACUGUGCAACAUUGGCCAGGGAAGUUAAAUGGGAUCGGAUUUGGAGGAGGUGGGAGAGGGGCAGACAGUACUUUUAUUCUCUGCUGCUUCCUGGGGCUGCCCUGGAAGUCAACCAGAAAAGCAGUUUUUGCAAAGUCUAUUUACUGAAGAUUGUGCUACCUUAGAAGGCCACUCGGAGCACAUGGAAAGGCAGGCCAGCUCUGGCAAGACUUUAGACAUAUGAAUGUAUUCCUUCUGAUAGUGCCAUCUUUCUCUGCCCUAGGAAGAAACACCUCUUACAGUCAUCUGCA